UAGGGAAUCUUCCGCAAUGGGCGAAAGCCUGACGGAGCAACGCCGCGUGAGUGAUGAAGGUCUUCGGAUCGUAAAACUCUGUCAUUAGGGAAGAACACAUGUGCAAGAAACUAUGCACGUCCUGACGGUACCUAAUCAGAAAGCCACGGCUAACUACGUGCCAGCAGCCGCGGUAAUACGUAGGUGGCAAGCGUUAUCCGGAAUUACUGGGCGUAAAGCGCGCGUAGGCGGUUUUUUAAGUCGGAUGUGAAAGCCCACGGCUCAACCGUGGAGGGUCCUUGGAAACUGGAAAGCUUGAGUGCAGAAGAGGAAAGUGGAAUUCCAUGUGUAGCAGUGAAAUGCGCAGAGAUAUGGAGGAACACCAGUGGCGAAGGCGGCUGUCUGGUCUGUAACUGACGCUGAUGUGCGAAGGCGUGGGGAGCAAACAGG
rnacentral:rRNA from 1 species